GGUAGAGCAACGGACUGUUAAUCCGUUUGUCGCUGGUUCGAGCCCAGCUCGGGGAG
rnacentral:tRNA from 1 species